AUGGGGCUCAGAAGUGCCCCUAAAUCCUAGUACCUACUAUCUCUUGGGGGACAGUACUAAGAAUCCAUUCAUUUGCCCUGAGGAGGGGCUCUUAUACUCUCCUACCUAUACCUCCUGUGUGUUAUAGUAACUGGGUCAGGGGACUCCAGAGACUUGCUUGCUAAUUAGAUGCCCUAUAAAUGAAUUAAUCUUGUCAAUUGCAGGUGCCGAAACCUCAAGAAGCAGAUGGUGGAGUCAGCCAGAGCCCUCUUACCUUGUCUAGAAGGACCUUGAGGAAUGUCAAGUGGGAAGAAGCCAGUACAAUGUUGAAGAUCAACCAACAUGAGGGUGGAACCUGCAGGAUGUCCCCACCCAAGCCAGCCCAUUCCUGCCUACAAACCAACCAACCCGACUCCUGCUACUGACCACCUGUGAAGUCUCGCAGUGCCCCCAGGGCCACCCAGAAGGAAACUCCCGGAUGCUCCUGUUUAUCUGCCCCUCAAAUGCCAAGUUGAGUUGUCUUUGUCUUUCAUUUAUGCAAGGAGCAGGAGAGGAAGUCCCUGGCCAUUUCAUUGAUGAGCUGUGGCUUUCUGACCAUGCUCAGAGAGUCUGUUCCUAUCUCCAAGAUACCUUUCAGGAAACCAGUUAAGCUUCUUUUUUCUGGGAUAGAGAGAGAGUUCAUGGGCUAAGAGCACUAGCUGCCUUUCCAGAG